rnacentral:hammerhead_ribozyme from 1 species
GCACUGCUGAAGAGUCUCAAGCUAGGACGAAGCGGCCGUCCAGUGC